UGGGGACCUUAGAUGACGACCACCGG
rnacentral:piRNA from 1 species